GCUCAUGCAAGAACAUACAAACUACCUCAUAUGAAGAUGUCAAUGGUAAAGCAAGCUAUGUACCCACAAUCAAAAUUAAAAAAGAAAUGGAAGAAAAGGAAAAAUUACCAGAGAAGCUUGAAACAGUUGGUGCAUUUCAAAAGCUGCCCAUGGUGAUGCAAUCUUUUGAUAUUCUUUACUCAACAAUAAAGAAGGCCAAGAGAGUUUCUCCAACUAAGGGCAUUGCCAACAUUGCAAAGCGAGAGAGAAAUAGAGGUGCA